rnacentral:tRNA from 1 species
GUCUCAGUAGCAUAGUGGUUAGUGCACAGCCUUGGAAAGGUUGAGACGCGGAUUCGAUUCCCGUCUUGGAUG